rnacentral:rRNA from 1 species
CCUACGGGAGGCAGCAGUGGGGGAUAUUGCACAAUGGGGGAAACCCUGAUGCAGCGACGCCGCGUGUGGGAAGACGGUCCUCUGGAUUGUAAACCACUGUCCCCAGGGACGAAGAUGACGGUACCUGGGGAGGAAGCUCCGGCUAACUACGUGCCAGCAGCCGCGGUAAUACGUAGGGAGUGAGCGUUGUCCGGAAUUACUGGGUGUAAAGGGCGUGCAGCCGGGAAGACAAGUCAGAUGUGAAAUCCCGCGGCUCAACCGCGGAACUGCAUUUGAAACUGUUUUUCUUGAGUAUCGGAGAGGUAAUCGGAAUUCCUAGUGUAGCGGUGAAAUGCGUAGAUAUUAGGAAGAACACCAGUGGCGAAGGCGGAUUACUGGACGAUAACUGACGGUGAGGCGCGAAAGCGUGGGGAGCAAACAGGAUUAGAUACCCUUGUAGUC